AUUAUCAAUAAGUUCCGAGUCAGUAUUUCUACGCGGAAGUACUGACCGAUAGGGUACGAAAAGCAAUUUUUGUGCCUGCUGUAUGCGAAGGAAGUCUAGUUAUUUGUA
rnacentral:ncRNA from 1 species